UACGUAGGUGACCAGCGUUGUCCGGAUUUACUGGGCGUAAAGAGCGCGCAGGCAGUCGUUCAAGUCGAGUGUGAAAGCCCCCGGCUCAACUGGGGAGGGUCACUCGAUACUGAUCGACUUGAAGGCAGGAGAGGGAAGCGGAAUUCCCGGUGUAGUGGUGAAAUGCGUAGAUAUCGGGAGGAACACCAGUGGCGAAGGCGGCUUCCUGGCCUGUUCUUGACGCUGAGGCGCGAAAGCUAGGGGAGCAAACGGG
rnacentral:rRNA from 1 species